rnacentral:tRNA from 1 species
GGGGAGAUACCUAAGUGGCCAACAGGGAUGGACUGUAAAUCCAUUGGCUCAGCCUUCAGAGGUUCGAAUCCUCUUCUCCCCACCA